GACGAACGCUGGCGGCGUGCCUAAUACAUGCAAGUUGAGCGCUGAAGGUUGGUACUUGUACCAACUGGAUGAGCAGCGAACGGGUGAGUAACGCGUGGGGAAUCUGCCUUUGAGCGGGGGACAACAUUUGGAAACGAAUGCUAAUACCGCAUAAAAACUUUAAACACAAGUUUUAAGUUUGAAAGAUGCAAUUGCAUCACUCAAAGAUGAUCCCGCGUUGUAUUAGCUAGUUGGUGAGGUAAAGGCUCACCAAGGCGAUGAUACAUAGCCGACCUGAGAGGGUGAUCGGCCACAUUGGGACUGAGACACGGCCCAAACUCCUACGGGAGGCAGCAGUAGGGAAUCUUCGGCAAUGGACGAAAGUCUGACCGAGCAACGCCGCGUGAGUGAAGAUGGUUUUCGGAUCGUAAAACUCUGUUGGUAGAGAAGAACGUUGGUGAGAGUGGAAAGCUCAUCAAGUGACGGUAACUACCCAGAAAGGGACGGCUAACUACGUG
rnacentral:rRNA from 1 species